UUUCCCUAAAUCAAUUAUUUGUUUUAUAUUACAAAUAUGUUCCUAAUGCCUGAAAAAGCUCGUGUCGCCUGUAAUGCCCUUUCCACUAACCGAUGAUCAUGUAUCAACUCUCCAUAACUUGCAGGCUCAAGCUCCAAUCUGUAAGCGCCUAUGGCAACUCCUCUAAUCAAUGCUCUUUUUUUCCCUUUCUACCUUCUUCCACAGUAUAUGAAGAGGCUUUUCCAGCCAACUUAACCAAUGCUUUUCCUUGCAACCGAAGCCAGUCCACUACCCAGUACCUGAAACUCUGCUUCUUUUUCCUUUUAGUUCCUUUCUCCUUCAUAUUUUUCUUUUUCUUUCUCCCCACUCAAUUUUUCCUAUAUUACUUUCCGUUGUGGAUCUUAUGAGUUAAGUGAAGAUACUUUGCUUGUGCUUUGUGAACUUACUGUACGGCUUAUAUACCUCCACACAAACGUCAUUCAAGGGAUAUGAAGAAUCGGUCUCCUACUCCAGAGUCGCUCGCUCCUCAAUUCAACAGAAAAUUGAAUUCGAAACCAACUCCUUAUGACAUCCGAGAGUUUUAUGCGAGGCCAACUUUUGUCAAUGCCGAUGGGGCUAUAUGGAAAUGGUUUACCAUUGGUAGUUCUGAUGAUGGUAACUAGUUUCCCCCUUGUGUUCAUCUUGAACCAUUUUCUGCGCCGUCCUUUGAACUUCGAUGGGGGUGAAAAACCUCUAGUUUUGGUGAACUCUAAUAUAUCACAAGGGACUAGAGAAGAGGAAGAAGUCGUAACAGGACCAUGGUUAUCUAUUGUAGACAAUCUACUGCCAGAAUUACUUUUAUCGGUUCAACACGUAAAAAAUGAACUGUAUCAAGAUGAGGAUGUGAAGCCGAAAUUGGUAGCUAGGGUUGGAAAAUUUCUCUUUCAUGGGAUAUCUAGAAUUGACAUAAAUAAGCUGCCUACUGAAAGGACAUUGAGACGGCUGAAGGGCAUGUUUUAUACGAAUGUCUUGGACACUUACAUGGAAAACAUUACAGAAAAAGUAAUUCCACUGAUUGGAGUAGAGUUUGAAAAGGAAAAACAUACAUAUCUUGUCAAGGUAGUUGUUUUGAUUUGCAGAUGAGUAUGGUAUGUGUGCAAGGAUUUUCGCUUUGCCCCUGUUGAAUAAUCUUGAACUUUAUAAGGUUGAACUCGACCAAGUGCGCCAUAUGGUUGCAGAUAUUUCGUGCCUGAAACAGAAUAUUGAUAUGAGGGUGAUGCUAUACUCCACGAAGACUUUAAAAAAGCUUACAGAUGAUGAGAUGGAAGGCAUCGUAGAUCUUAUAAAUUCUUCAGUUUUAGACCCAGAUGUGAUGGGCAGCUUAAGAUGGCCUCUGAGAAAAGACACCUCUGGGGAUAGAUUCACAGUGGUUGAAGUUUGGCACAUUGUUUCCAAGUCUUAUGUAAACCCAUUUGUGAAGCUCAAUCUAAGACAUGCCGAUCGAUAUCAUCUCAGGACCUCGAUUGGUGAAGCGUCAAACGAAGUUACUUUGAAGCUAAAACAAGGUACUUCCGAACUACUGGUAAGCAUCCUCCAUAACUGGCUUCCUCAGUUUCACACAAAUAUGGUUUUUGCCUAAAAAAUGCUGCUUUUACGUUUGAUUGUUAAGCUUCUGUUUGCUAACUAUUUUGUUUUUUAUUUUAAAAAAUAAAGCCUAUUCUUUCACAUUUUCUUAGGAUGGUUUGCAUGUGAGUUGAAUUCUUAGCCACAUUCCAAAUUCGAAAAACAAAUUUUUAAAAAUUACUUUUUUUAGAUUUUAAAUUUUGGCUUCGUUUUUUAGAACAUGGGUAAAAAGUAGACAAUAAAGGAAGAAAUCUAGAGGUAGCAGAAGUGUUUGUAGGUUGAAUUAAAUGUGUAUUAUAGCUAUCAUUUGAUCACUAAACAACAGAGUUCUCUAUAUUUAUAUACUGAUAUGAGUUCAAUUUUGUGUAGUUGACAAGAAUAUCUUUUAUUUUAAUUGAUGUGGGGCUAUGUAAAUAGUUGUUUGUUUCUUUCUAAUGAAAUGUUUGGAUAUAAUACUGAUUUUGUGUGAGCUGAAAUGUUGGCAGAUUAUUGUUUUUCAUUAUUUUGUUUGUACUUUUCUUUGCAGAGAGAAAAAGUUGAGUAUGGUGAAAUAUAUAAUAUGCUUAGUGACUACCUAAAGCUAUUUUGGAACCAUUUCGUAUGCUCUGCAUCAUUUUAUCUCCAUUGGUUUCCACAUGAUGUAGUUUGACGUGAGCACAUGAUUUUUAAUUAUUACUUUUGAAAUGUUUAGAUACAAUAUAUUUUUGUGGUAUUCGAGUUGUUUUUUUGAAGCAUUGUAUCUUUAAAUUCUCGUUUGCACUCAGUUUAGUUAGUUUUAGGGUAGUUUGGGCAUUUUCUGAUUAUUAUUUUCUUUUAUUUAAAUUUAUUUUGUUGUUAUUAUAAUUUUGAAACCUUUUGUGAUUUUUUCAAAUAAAACUUUAAAAUUUGUUAUUUUUCUUGUCAAUUCUUUAAUUAACAUCUCUGAGCUCUGAGCUCCAAAUCUUCGGAAUAAAUACCCUCUCGAAUGUGAUCUACUUCCUUUUUUCCCGAAAUUAUAAUUGUAACAUUGAUUAAUGGUUAUUCAUUACUGUAAGAAUUCCCUUUUAUAAAGUGAUUUUUCAUUGAGAGAAAAACACUUAAAGAAUACAAGGUGAUACAAAAAACUAACUCAAUUAAAAGUAGCCAAAAUUGAAAACAGGCUUCAAUUAUGUAAAAAUGAGAAUGGAACUUAACAAGAGCCUACACAGGCCCUUGGUUCUCUCGAGGCCUCGAAAUACGAUUGUUCUUCUCAAACCAAAUAUCCUAUAACAUUGCACAUACCUUUGCGAAUCCACAAAAAUCUCCUUGCAGAAGAGUUGAAAAAGAAUUCCUUGACCUGGUUAAUGGUGUUCAUUGUUUUCCUAUUAGUUAAUGAAAAAAAAAAUAAGAUCGUAAGAAAGGAGUUCUCGAUGGAUAGAAUGUAUACUAAGAUUGUAAGAUAGAGUAUUAAAAAAGGACAAAAUACAUUUUUAGUCCUUGAAAUUUGGACCUAGUGUCUAUUUGGUUCUUGAAGUUUCAAAAUGAACAAUUUUAAUCCUUGAGAUUUGCAAAAUGGUUUUAAAUGGUCGCUAGGCUCUUUGCCCAUUAGUCAACUAAUUGUGAGAUGAGGUAGAUGUUAAUUUUUUGCUGAUUGUGAGGGUGAUUUGGCAAAUAACUAAUAAUUAUUUUUUUUGUUAAUCUAAAAUUCCUUUUGUCUCCCCUUUCCCCUCUCUCACUUUUUUUUUCUUUGUUACAGCCCUUCAAAUAAUUAAAGACUUCUAUCAUUGUCCAUCAAUGUACCACUACUGAUAGUCAAUCACUGUCUAUCACAGUCAAUUACUCUCUAUCAAUGAUAGAAAAUAAUAGAUAGUGAUAUUCUUUAAAUCAGUCUACCACUAUUGAUAGUCAGUGAUGGUGUUCUGUCAGUGUCUAUCAAUGAUAGAAAGUUAUGUAUAUUAAAUUGUCCAAAUAAUUCUUUAAAUCAACCUACCACUAUUAAUAAUCAGUGAUAGUCUUCUAUCAUUAAUAGAAAGUGAUAGGAAGUGAUAUUCUUUAAAACAUUGGCCAACCCUUUUGAAAAAGACAAUUUGCUACCAUUUUAUAUAAGAGAAUUUCAUUAACUGAUAUCAUAUUCUAUGUAAGAUAAUUUAGAUUGUAUCAUUAUGUGCAUCAAAUUGUCCAAACAAUUUUUUAAACCAGUAUACCACUACUGAUAGUCUUUCAAUCACCGUAUACCAAUGAUAGAAAGUUAUACAUUUUUAUCACUGAAUAGUCAAUGAUAGUCUUGUAUGUGAUAGUUUUCUAUUACUAUCUAUUAAUGAUUGAAUAUGCCUGAAAUUUGUAUAUCUUGUCAACUUUUUUAAUCAGUCUACCACUGAUAUUAAAUGACAAUCUUCUAUCACUGAUGUGAUUUAGUUAGUUGAGACAGGUUGGUUAGUUGUUUUAAAUCCCUUGUUUUCCCUUAGUAUGUGUUUGUUACUGUUUUAUUAUGUUUUAGUUACCAACUAUGCUUUUCUGGUUAAUUGUUUGUAUUCAAGACUCAUUAUAUAAGCUGGUCUUUGUUUAAUAAAACCAUCCUAUUGAGUUUUUUAACGAGAAGUUGAGUGAGGCUUGUCCAAAAUGGAGUACGUACGAAAAAGAACUUUAUUCUCUCGUGAGAGCUCUUAAGGUUUGGGAGCACUAUCUGCCAAACGACAAAGUGACAACAGCAAAACACAGAGUUGUAUACCCCAUUGCAUAUUCCCAGAGAACCUUAGAAUUCAGCGAGGGUUUGAUUUUGUGCUUGUAGUGGUUGAUUGGCUCAAUAAGAUGUCUCACUUUUUUCCUUGUAAAAAAGAUUUGACGCCAUAUAUGUUGCUAACUCUUUUUAAAAAAAAGAAUUUGUUCGUCUA